rnacentral:rRNA from 1 species
UCCAGACUCCUACGGGAGGCAGCAGUGGGGGAUAUUGCACAAUGGGCGAAAGCCUGAUGCAGCGACGCCGCGUGAGGGAAGACGGUCUUCGGAUUGUAAACCUCUGUCUUUGGGGAAGAAAAUGACGGUACCCAAAGAGGAAGCUCCGGCUAACUACGUGCCAGCAGCCGCGGUAAUACGUAGGGAGCAAGCGUUGUCCGGAAUUACUGGGUGUAAAGGGAGCGUAGGCGGGAUGGCAAGUAGAAUGUUAAAUCCGUCGGCUCAACCGGUGGCUGCGUUCUAAACUGCCGUUCUUGAGUGAAGUAGAGGCAGGCGGAAUUCCUAGUGUAGCGGUGAAAUGCGUAGAUAUUAGGAGGAACACCAGUGGCGAAGGCGACUUACUGGACUGUAACUGACGUUGAGGCACGAAAGUGUGGGGAGCAAACAGGAUUAGAUCCCCCGGUA